rnacentral:rRNA from 1 species
AGUCGAGCGGUAGCACAGAGAAGCUUGCUUCUUGGGUGACGAGCGGCGGACGGGUGAGUAACGCGUGGGAAUCUACCUGGUAGUGGGGGACAACAGUCGGAAACGACUGCUAAUACCGCAUACGCCCUUCGGGGGAAAGUGGGGGAUCUUCGGACCUCACGCUAUCAGAUGAGCCCGCGUCGGAUUAGCUUGUUGGUGAGGUAAAGGCUCACCAAGGCGAUGAUCCGUAGCUGGUCUGAGAGGAUGACCAGCCACACUGGGACUGAGACACGGCCCAGACUCCUACGGGAGGCAGCAGUGGGGAAUAUUGGACAAUGGGGGCAACCCUGAUCCAGCCAUGCCGCGUGUGUGAAGAAGGCCUUCGGGUUGUAAAGCACUUUCAACUGUGAGGAAAGGCGAGUGGUUAAUACCCGCUUGCUGUGACGUUAACAGCAGAAGAAGGACCGGCUAACUCCGUGCCAGCAGCCGCGGUAAUACGGAGGGUCCGAGCGUUAAUCGGAAUUACUGGGCGUAAAGCGCGCGUAGGUGGUUCAGUCAGUCAGAUGUGAAAGCCCCGGGCUCAACCUGGGAACUGCACCUGAUACUGCUGAGCUAGAGUACGGUAGAGGGCAGUGGAAUUUCCGGUGUAGCGGUGAAAUGCGUAGAGAUCGGAAGGAACACCAGUGGCGAAGGCGACUGCCUGGACUGAUACUGAC